rnacentral:rRNA from 1 species
ACCGUAGCUAAUACCGGAUGAUAUUUUGAACCGCAUGGUUCAAAAGUGAAAGACGGUCUUGCUGUCACUUAUAGAUGGAUCCGCGCUGCAUUAGCUAGUUGGUAAGGUAACUGCUUACCAAGGCAACGAUGCAUAGCCGACCUGAGAGGGUGAUCGGCCACACUGGAACUGAGACACGGUCCAG